CAUCAGAAAAUCUACAAACAACAAAUGCUGGAGUGGGUGUGGAGAAAAGAGAACCCUCUUGCACUGUUGGUGGGAAUGUAAAUUGAUAAUAGCCACUAUGGAGAAACGGUAUGGAGGUUCCUUAAAAAACUAAAAGAAUUACCAGAUGACCCAGCAAUCCCAAUACUGGGCAUAUACCCAGAGAAAAUCGUAAUUCAAAAAGACACAUGCACCCCGAUGUUCAUUGCAGCACUAUUUACAAUAGCUAGGUCAUGGAAGCAACCUAAAUGUCCAUCACCAGAUGAAUGGAUAAAGAAGAUAUGGUACAUACAUACAAUGGAAUAUUACUCAGCCAUAAAAAGGAAUGAAACUGGGUCAUUUGUAGAGAUGUGGAUGCAUCUAGAGACUCAUACACAGUGAAGCAUCACUCAGUACUGCAAGUUGCACUUGGAAAAAAGUAUCACCCUGAAUCUGAUGUAUUUUGAAAAUGGAGAUAUCAUAGUAAUCUUUGGACUUACAGUGAUAAACUAAAGCCUUCACCUGGGAGCUUGUAAGAAAGCUGAGAGGCUCACCAGAGGAAGUGGUGUUCAGAACCAUUUAGCUCCACUGCCAACCAGGCUUUGAUUGUCCAUGUCAAGAAAGGCAAAAGGGAGUGGGACAUGAGGACAUGCUGCCUGAAGCCAAGGAAAAUGUCCAAGAAUCAGAAGUGAGACCCUCCUACCCUCCUAGGAGCUAACAGGUGCCUGGAUUCUCCCAGGAGUUGGGACCUGCUCAGCCAUCACAGGGAGAAGACCAGAAGCAGUGAAUUCCAGCUCCACACACCAGACUAACGGGGGUGCUGAGGCAGCAAGAGGGGUCGUGGCCCUCAAGUAUCCCGGAGAGCCAGUCGGUGCCUGACUCGAGAUGGGGAGAACCAUGAGCUACUGGGAUGGAAUUGGAGCAAAGAAGUUCUUGAAAGCUUCAGGAAAUGCGGUGCAACCUUAUAUGGCAAUGUGCUGAUUAAACUGAAAUCACGAAUCCCCAUCUACCCUGGUUGGGGGAACACUGCAGGGUUCUCAUUUGGGACAGAAGCAAAAAGAGCAGAGAAUUAAAGUUAAAAAAAAAGACAUGAAAGGGAAAUUUCAAUUUUGGAAGCAUUUGUGUCUACAAUAAAAUAAGAACCGGGAGACAGUGAUGGAGGAGUUAGAUGCAGUCCCUGUCCUCUGGGGUCCAUGUCUGAGAGAAAACCUUCAGUGGUGCCUUGAGCAUAGUAACUCCAGCUUGUGGACAGCGAAAGGAUGCUAGGUUUGGUGGAAUUUCUUUUGUGUGUUGCUUUUCCUGAAGAGGACAGAAACUACAGAACAAAAUCACAGGCAGAAAGUGAGAGCAAAGAAUGAUUGUGUCAGGCAGCUUGUCCUAGUGGAGAAUCAAAGCCAAGUGCUCUUCACCUGUGGAUGGCUUGGCUCAAGAGAACUGUGGCUUCUACAUCUACUUUCCUGCUCUUUUUCCUCCCACAUCUAUUCAGGAUGAAUAAUAGAGGCAAGAGGAACAAGAGAGAAAUGAAUUCUAAUCCUGGGAACAGUGAAGAAGUUAUGAUGGGAAGAUGCUCUGUCGUGGCCUUGAGGCUCUCAUGGAAGAAAGAAUAGGCAAAUCACAUGAUGCUAGAAGUUCAUGCUGUGUAGCUGUAUUAAACAAGAAUAAGGAAGAAUGCUGGGAACUUAUACCUCCAAUAUACUGGAAGUUUUGUGAAAACCUCGUGCAUGUGAAAGAAGGGCUGAUCUCCUGCACCAAAUCUGACGUUCCAACUUUCUUGGCUGCUACUCCUCAAGGGAAAGAACCAUUUGGUGGAAAUUUUGUUCUGAAGAAGCAGAGGCUGAAGCCCCAAGCCUCUAAAUUGUAGUCAGAGCUCAGGAAUAUCUAACACUGAAGGCAACAAGUUGUUGAGAGGAACAAAGUCCUUGAGGCAAUUUCCACAAAUUGCACAUGCUUUAUCCAAGUUCCAUUGGAACACAUCCAGACUAUACCUGAAAAAUUCCCCCUCUCUCCCCAAGAGAAGCAUAUUUACCUGGUGGUAUCAUGGAAGACAUUCCAGCAUCUGGCCACCCAGGAACAGGCUGGUUGGGGAUCCCUGCUUUGGAGGAUUCCAGAAGAUGCAAAGAUGAUGACAGCCUUGGCCCUGGAGACCAAGGCCGCCUUUGGAGUCAAUUGAACUUGCUGACCUCCUGAAGCCUCAUUUAAGGCCUUACUGCACUACCUGCUUGAAAACUGGUAAAAUGAAUUUCCUUCUUUUCCAGGAAUCCUUUCCAAAUAUUCUGCCCCUCCCCUCCCCCAAAUGGGUAAUGUGUCUAAUUCGAUUGAGUAACCCCACUUUGCCCUCUGGAACCACGCAAUGAAUACCUCUUGUCUCUUCUGUGUAAGAGCUCUACAAAUGUUUGAAUAUAUUUAAAUAUUCUGCCACAUUCCUUCCACGUGUUUUCUUUUCUCCAAGCUAAAUGUUUU